rnacentral:rRNA from 1 species
CUGCGGAAGGAUCAUUUUAGAGAUCUAUUUCGAACUACUGUGACGCUGUACUCAUACCCAUCGAGAACUUGGUAUUUGUUUUGUCAACAUUUGCGCUGUUCAGAUGGGUUCCCAUUAAUGCCUUCGUCUCGCUUCACUUGGAAGUAAGAAGGAGCGUAAAAAUAAGAGACCGGCACGGUUCGUGCCAAGGACAGUUUUUGUGGAAGUUCCGUGCCAUUUUUUAAUGUGCUUUGUGUUACUCUACAAGAGUGAGUGUCUAAAAGACUCUUGGCAAUGGAUAUCUUGGCUCUCAUGUCGAUGAAGAACGUAGCAAAAUGCGACACUUGGUGUGAAUUGCAGAAUCCCGUGAACCAUCGAGUCUUUGAAUGCAAGUUGCGCUCGAGGCCAUUAGGUUGAGGGCACGUCUGUUUGGGUGUCAUGCCAUGCAUCAUUCUAACACCCACCUAAAACAAACAUGGUGUGGGUGGUAGUGGAUGUGGAGAUUGACCCUCCGUGGUUUAAGUAGGCGGUUGGUUUAAGUGAAUGUUGUUGCUAGGUCUUAUGGGCAGCGAACGGUGUAUCGAGUUAACGCACGACGACUCUAACCGCGUCCAUGAGCGUUAGGCGCAACGUAACAGUUAGUGAAACCAUUUUCGAUGUUUGCGUAGGUCGUAAGCUCGACCCUUGACCUCAGAUCAGACGGGGCCACCCGCUGAGUUUAAGCAUA